rnacentral:rRNA from 1 species
GCUAGCCUACGGGGCGCAGCAGUGGGGAAUAUUGCACAAUGGGGGGAACCCUGAUGCAGCGACGCCGCGUGAGCGAAGAAGUAUUUCGGUAUGUAAAGCUCUAUCAGCAGGGAAGAAAAUGACGGUACCUGACUAAGAAGCCCCGGCUAACUACGUGCCAGCAGCCGCGGUAAUACGUAGGGGGCAAGCGUUAUCCGGAUUUACUGGGUGUAAAGGGAGCGCAGGCGGCGCGGUAAGUCUGAUGUGAAAGCCCGGGGCUCAACCCCGGGACUGCAUUGGUAAAUGUCGUGCUUGAG